AUUUUUUGUUUAUCUUGAUGUAAGUAAUCAACUCAUUUUCAUGGUGAUAUCUAAAGGUUAAAAAUGUUACCCUAUUCACGUGAGAAAAAGAAUGAAUAGGCUAUAUUUGGGUCUUUUUCGAAACUUCCCCCUAAUGGGAUUCUUCUGGGCUUUUUUUUCCUUACUCAGGACAUAUUGAUACAAAAUCAGUUUGCUUCUGUUGCAAUUUGUUCAAGGUUGACCCCCAUUUUGGCUUAAAAUGACUGGACUAUAUUAAAAGAUAGAAUUUUGUCUUAAGUAAUAUUAAUGUCAGAGUAAUUUGACUUACAGGGACCGCUGCUGACGCACCUACUAGAACGCCUCAGGUCACGAAUAAGUGCACUUUUAGAUGGACAUCAGCUGGACUUGGACUAUUUUCAGUAUGUUAUCAAUCAAGAAGUGUUUAUUUUGUCAUCAGCCUCCACUAUCUUUGAUGUGCCAAAUGAUAUUUUGGAGACCCUCAUGGAUUUACAACAAAAAAUUCAUGCAGCUCUUUACCAAGAGGUGGCCCCAGUUCUUACGAGGGAAUGUGGUGGUGGACGAGGUCGACCUAAGUUUAUUGUUUCCGAGGAAAUGCUGUCCCGUCUCAAAGAGAUGUCUUUACCAGUUUCUUGUAUUGCGAACAUUUUAGGAGUAAGCCAGUCAACUAUCUUUUGCCGAAUGCGUGACUUGGGUUUGUCUGUAAAAACUACGUAUAGCACCAUAUCUGACAAUGAAUUGGAUAAUGCCAUUUUGGCCAUCAAAAGAAGACUACCAAAUGCUGGAUAUAGAAUGAUAAAAGGCUGCCUGCAAGCAGACGGACAAAGAGUGCAAUGGAACCACAUAAAAGAAUCCAUGCACAGAGUGGAUGCCCCUGGAAUAUUGGAAAGGAUGACACAGCUGGGGUGUAUUGUCAGGAGGUCAUAUUUUGUUCAAAGUCCACUGGCCUUAGUCCAUAUUGACACGAAUCACAAGCUCAUAAUGUAUGUUCUUAUAUUUUACCUACGAAAGUGUAAUGUUAUGCAAUUUUACGUUUAACAUGGUUUUACUUUGAAGGUACAACAUCAUCAUAUUUGGUGGGAUAGACGGGUUCUCACGAAAGAUCAUGUACCUGGAACCAGCAACAAACAACCGUUUAAGCACUGCCUUAUCAUUCUUUCUCCAGUCUGUGCAAAAACAUGGCUGGCCUUCAAGGUAGGAGAAAAUUGUUUUUCUGCUCACUUCCUUGCAUUUAGUUAAACCCUCAUCCGUCCCUCAGGUCAUUUUGGCCCAAAACUGA